CGGGGUAGAGUAACGCGUGAGGAACCUGCCUCAAAGAGGGGGACAACAGUUGGAAACGACUGCUAAUACCGCAUAAGCCCACGGUGCCGCAUGGCACAGAGGGAAAAGGAGCAAUCCGCUUUGAGAUGGCCUCGCGUCCGAUUAGCUAGUUGGUGAGGUAAUGGCCCACCAAGGCGACGAUCGGUAGCCGGACUGAGAGGUUGAACGGCCACAUUGGGACUGAGACACGGCCCAG
rnacentral:rRNA from 1 species